GGGCGGUGAUGAGAAUGUAGAUAAUGUCAUGCACCACUCCGACGAUCUUCGUGUGACGACAACAUCUCAUACCCAAACAAUUUCUGAGCCC